AACGCUAGCUACAGGCUUAACACAUGCAAGUCGAGGGGCAGCAUGGUCUUAGCUUGCUAAGGCCGAUGGCGACCGGCGCACGGGUGAGUAACCCGUAUCCAACCUGCCGUCUACUCUUGGACAGCCUUCUGAAAGGAAGAUUAAUACAAGAUGGCAUCAUGAGUCCGCAUGUUCACAUGAUUAAAGGUAUUCCGGUAGACGAUGGGGAUGCGUUCCAUUAGAUAGUAGGCGGGGUAACGGCCCACCUAGUCUUCGAUGGAUAGGGGUUCUGAGAGGAAGGUCCCCCACAUUGGAACUGAGACACGGUCCAAACUCCUACGGGAGGCAGCAGUGAGGAAUAUUGGUCAAUGGGCGAGAGCCUGAACCAGCCAAGUAGCGUGAAGGAUGACUGCCCUAUGGGUUGUAAACUUCUUUUAUAAAGGAAUAAAGUCGGGUAUGGAUACCCGUUUGCAUGUACUUUAUGAAUAAGGAUCGGCUAACUCCGUGCCAGCAGCCGCGGUAAUACGGAGGAUCCGAGCGUUAUCCGGAUUUAUUGGGUUUAAAGGGAGCGUANAUGGAUGUUUAAGUCAGUUGUGAAAGUUUGCGGCUCAACCGUAAAAUUGCAGUUGAUACUGGAUAUCUUGAGUGCAGUUGAGGCAGGCGGAAUUCGUGGUGUAGCGGUGAAAUGUCUUAGAUAUCACGAAGAACUCCGAUUG
rnacentral:rRNA from 1 species